rnacentral:rRNA from 1 species
GUGCCCUCGAGGAAUAGGUUCUAGGUAGAUAGAUCUAAGCGGCCCAGAGCCCGACACCAGCUGCCAUGGCAGGAGGAAGUGGAGGAGCUGGGGGAGGAACAGGGGGAGGGGACUCGUUGGCUCGCAGGGCCUGGAGGCAGUACCUGCUCCAGCUGCAGCGCCACCCACUCCGCACCAAGAUGGUCACUGCGGGGUGCCUCGCAGGCGUCAGCGACUCCGUGGCGCAGAAGCUCUCUGGAUAUCAGAAGAUUGAGAAGCGCCGCCUCCUGCUCAAGAUGAUAUUUGGGUUUGCAUAUGGUGGCCCAUUUGGGCAUUUCCUGCAUAAAGUGUUGGAUUAUAUCUUUAAAGGGAAGAAGGAUACCAAAACUGUAGCUAAGAAGGUAUAACUUUGACCAUCUUAGAGCAUCUGCAACCGGACCCCCAACUUUCCCCCUAUAUGUCUGGGGAGACAGCCGGUCAUGAGAGAGAAGGAAAAAAGUCACCCAACCAGGCCCCUCAAAUUGUCCUCAUGUGUCCGGGUUGUCCACGAACCCUCAUAUCCAGCCCAUAUGCGGGGAGGAUAUGAGGGCGCUCGGGCAUGUCCGGGCAGUCCACGCUGGAUUUGGCCCACCACGAACCACUUUUUCUCUUUGUUUAUUGUUUCUUUUCUGAUGCGUCCGCGGAAGUAUAGGACGUCAAAUUAGCUCAGUCCGGUUGUAGAUGCUCUUAUAAUCAACACCAUUGUUCACUUCUUUCUUGUGGUGGCCAUGUAUAAAAAGUUCUGCUGCCAAUGAUAGUGCACAUAUAAGUAAAGCACAGUACAUCAUGGUAUUGCAAAGGUUUGACUUUAAUUUCCCGCAAAAAAAGUGUGAAUUUACCAUACUAGUAAAGCAUCAGCAACUUAGUCUAUGAUAUCUGUUGCCAGCAAAUUUUCCCACAUCACGAUUGAAGUCAAACAAGCACUGGUGGACAAUCUGUACUUGAUGGUAUGUCAGAAUACUUUGAGAUGUUUCGUACUAUUUUCAGGUGUUGCUGGAGCAGAUCACUUCCUCUCCCUGGAACAAUUUACUCUUCAUAUUCUAUUAUGGAUAUGUUGUUGAGAGUAAGUCUGUAAGUGUCAAAUAGUUUGAUUUUGUACCAAUCGGAAGAGUUCCUUUGGCAUCAUACCAUGCCAACUGCCAAUGAUGAUUUGAAAUUUUACUUGCCAUCUUUCGAGUAUGUUACCUUGAUAUAGCAGGAGGUAUUAGCAUAGUAGAGUUUAGAAAACCGUUUACUGAACAAAACAUAAGAACCAGGCUUUUCUGUACUUUUCUCAGCUUGUUGGUCCAGAAUAUCCCUUCGAGUUUCUUUCCUCCUAGUCAUGACGUUUGAAACAUACAGCAAACCUUAUUAAACAUAUUCCCCUUAAUAUUGGAGGUCAUAUAGAUCUAGGGUCCAAAGACCGAUCAAUUAUAUCUCUGUGUGACCGAGAUAUCUGUAAACUGGGGGAAUCAGUUUAAUCCUACCAGUUGCCUGAAUCAUGUAAUAGUGUUGUGUGUUCCAGUAAGAUGGUUGCCUUUAAAUCGAAUGGAGUAGCUACUCAUGGGUUAUUGACAAGUCGGAAUGCAGAGAGGCCUUUCAAGGAGGUGAAGACUAGGGUGAAGAAACAAUAUCUGUCAGUGCAAUUGUCUGCUUGGAUGUUUUGGCCAGUAGUUGGUUGGAUAAACCAUCAGUACGUGCCUUUGCAGUUUCGGGUGAUUGUCCACAGCUUUGUUGCAUGUUGCUGGGGGAUAUUUCUCAACCUUCGCGCCAGAGCCAUGUCUUUGAAGCAGUCAUAGACAGAUUAGUGGGGGUAUAACACUGCUCCAUCAUGGUUCAAACUGGCCGGAGAACAAGGAUGCUGAUUGCUAUGUAAUAUACCGUUGAUUGUCCUAGGGUAUUUAAAUAGUAGGAUUUCGAUACCUGUUUGGUAUCAAGUUGCAGAUUUGUUUGUCAACGCAUGCGAGGCCGCUUAUCUGAUUUCUCUGUUGGUACUAUUUAAGCUUUGUGACUGAAACGUAAUUGAAUUAUAUUAGCUAUGGAUAUAUUCGGUCUACUUCGGAGAGCAAAUAAUUGUUUUUUUCAUGAGUGG